rnacentral:rRNA from 1 species
GAUGAACGCUGGCGGCGUGCUUAACACAUGCAAGUCGAACGGAAAGGCUCCUGCUUGCCGGGGUACUCGAGUGGCGAACGGGUGAGUAACACGUGGGUGAUCUGCCCUGCACUUCGGGAUAAGCCUGGGAAACUGGGUCUAAUACCGGAUAGGACCACAUUUUGGAUGGUGUGGUGGAAAGUUUUUCGGUGUGGGAUGAGCUCGCGGCCUAUCAGCUUGUUGGUGGGGUAAUGGCCUACCAAGGCGUCGACGGGUAGCCGGCCUGAGAGGGUGUACGGCCACAUUGGGACUGAGAUACGGCCCAGACUCCUACGGGAGGCAGCAGUGGGGAAUAUUGCACAAUGGGCGCAAGCCUGAUGCAGCGACGCCGCGUGGGGGAUGACGGCCUUCGGGUUGUAAACUCCUUUCGCUAGGGACGAAGCGUUUUUGUGACGGUACCUGGAGAAGAAGCACCGGCUAACUACG